rnacentral:rRNA from 1 species
GACGAACCGUGCGAACGUUGUUCGGAAUCACUGGGCUUAAAGGGCGCGUAGGCGGGCGGGCAAGUCAGGGGUGAAAGCCCCCAGCUCAACUGGGGAAGUGCCUUUGAUACUGGUCGUCUCGAGGGAGGUAGGGGCGUGCGGAACUUCCGGUGGAGCGGUGAAAUGCGUAGAUAUCGGAAGGAACGCCGGUGGCGAAAGCGGCGCGCUGGACCUCUUCUGACGCUGAGGCGCGAAAGCUAGGGGAGCAAACGGG